rnacentral:rRNA from 1 species
GGGGAAUAUUGGACAAUGGGGGAAACCCUGAUCCAGCAAUGCCGCGUGGGUGAUGAAGGCCUUCGGGUUGUAAAGCCCUUUUGGCGGGGACGAUGAUGACGGUACCCGCAGAAUAAGCCCCGGCUAACUUCGUGCCAGCAGCCGCGGUAAUACGAAGGGGGCUAGCGUUGUUCGGAAUUACUGGGCGUAAAGGGCGCGUAGGCGGCCCUGUCAGUCGGGCGUGAAAGCCCCGGGCUCAACCCGGGAAAUGCGUUCGAUACUGCAAGGCUUGAGUGUGGGAGAGGAUGGUGGAAUUCCCAGUGUAGAGGUGAAAUUCGUAGAUAUUGGGAAGAACACCGGUGGCGAAGGCGGCCAUCUGGACCACUACUGACGCUGAGGCGCGAAAGCGUGGGGAGCAAAC